GUCAGCCUCCUGUCCGCUGCCUUCUGAUGCGGCUGCUCUGGACGCAGAGGGAGAGAGGGCCUGGGCAGUUGAUCCACAAGACACUCCCAGAAACAUACUACCUUUUGAAACCAGAGACAAGGAUGAGGCCUUGCCAGGUUCCGCCCAAGAUUAAAGAUGACUUACAAGAAAA